rnacentral:misc_RNA from 1 species
AACUGAUACUACCUGCGGGAACCUGCGGAGGGAUCAUUAUUGAAUACUCUCGAUGGGUUGUCGCUGGCCUCUCGGGGCAUGUGCACGCCUGUCUUGACUUUAUUCAUCCACCUGUGCACCUAGUGUAGUCUUUGUUUUUGAGGGUAUUGAGGAAGCGACUUCUGCUCGGUUGUAAAAGACCGGAUUUGAGGAUUGCCUCUGGGCUCUUCUCUGCUUUACGGAGGUUGUGGAACCGCUGCC